AUGGACAAGGAAAUCAUGGAACAUGACGUAUUGGAGCGUAUAUUUGAUGGGAGCAUCAAGCCAACAGAUCUAAAGUUAUCAGCUCUACAGAGCAUCACCGGAAAUUUCUCACAAGAGCAAAUAGUUGGUAUGGGCGGAUUUGGAACCGUUUACAAGGGUGUCCUUCGAAACGGAGAAGUUGCUGUGAAGAGGAUAAACAACAACCAUACAGUAGAUGAGAAUGUAUUUCGUCGCGAGGUUAACAGCUUAUUGCAUGUCAGCCAUAAAAAUAUAGUUCGGUUUCUUGGCUUCUGUUCUCACACAAAACAUAAAGUAUUCGAAAAUAAAGGAUCAAGAGAUUACAUUUACGCUGAGAGUAGGGAAAGAAUUCUCUGUUUUGAGUACAUCAACAACGGAAGUCUUGAAAAAUAUAUUACAUGUACACUCUGGAUUAUGAAACUUUUCUCUCUCUUUUACUCUCCAAUGACUGGGUCACAAAUUAUGAGGGACUGA
rnacentral:rRNA from 1 species